rnacentral:rRNA from 1 species
GAUGAACGCUGGCGGCGUGCUUAACACAUGCAAGUCGAACGGAAAGGCCCAAGCUUGCUUGGGUACUCGAGUGGCGAACGGGUGAGUAACACGUGGGUGAUCUGCCCUGCACUUCGGGAUAAGCCUGGGAAACUGGGUCUAAUACCGGAUAGGACGAUGGUUUGGAUGCCAUUGUGGAAAGUUUUUUCGGUGUGGGAUGAGCUCGCGGCCUAUCAGCUUGUUGGUGGGGUAAUGGCCUACCAAGGCGUCGACGGGUAGCCGGCCUGAGAGGGUGUACGGCCACAUUGGGACUGAGAUACGGCCCAGACUCCUACGGGAGGCAGCAGUGGGGAAUAUUGCACAACGGGCGCAAGCCUGAUGCAGCGACGCCGCGUGGGGGAUGACGGCCUUCGGGUUGUAAACUCCUUUCGCUAGGGACGAAGCGUUUUUGUGACGGUACCUGGAGAAGAAGCACCGGCUAACUACGUG